rnacentral:rRNA from 1 species
AGAGUUUGAUCCUGGCUCAGAAUGAACGCUGGCGGCGUGCUUAACACAUGCAAGUCGAACGGUAACAGGGACUUCGGUCUGCUGACGAGUGGCGCACGGGUGAGUAAUGCAUAGGUAAUGUGCCCCGAAGACCGGGAUAGCCACUGGAAACGGUGAUUAAUACCGGAUAUACCUUCUUCCUAUAAGGGAAGUCGGGAAAUGUUUUUUCGCUUCGGGAUCAGCCUAUGUCCUAUCAGGUAGUUGGUGAGGUAAGAGCUUACCAAGGCGAUGGCGGGUAGGCGGUGUGAGAGCACGAUCGCCAACAAGGGUACUGAGAUACGGACCCUACUCCUACGGGAGGCAGCAGUCGAGAAUAUUGCGCAAUGGGCGAAAGCCUGACGCAGCGACGCCGCGUGCUUGAAGAAGCUCUUCGGAGUGUAAAGAGCUUUUCUGGAGGAACAAUCCCGCUUUUUGCGGAAUGAGUGUACUCCGGGAAUAAGGGGGGGCUAAUCACGUGCCAGAAGCCUCGGUAAUGCGUGGCCCCCAAGCGUUAUCCGGAUUUAUUGGGCGUAAAGAGUCUGUAGGCGGCUUGUUAGGUUUUCUGUUAAAUCUCCAGGGCUUAACCUUGGAGCUGCAGGAAAAACCAACAGGAUAGAGGGCGUUAGAGGCUGAUGGAACGGUCGGUGUAGGGGUGAAAUCCGUUGAUAUCGACCGGAACACCAAAAGCGAAGGCAUUCAGCUAGGACGACCCUGACGCUGAGAGACGAAAGCGUGGGCAUAAAAAAGGAUUAGAUACCCUUGUAUUCCACGCCGUAAACGAUGGACACUAGCUGCUUGAAGUGUCGACCCUUCAAGUGGCGAAGUUAACGCGUUAAGUGUCCCGCCUGGGAAGUACGAGCGCAAGCUUAAAACUCAAAGGAAUAGACGGGGAUUCACACAAGCGGUGGACCAUGUGGCUUAAUUCGAUGAUAAGCGAGGAACCUUACCAGGGCUUGACAUUCCGAUGAAACUCUGCCGAAAAGCGGAGCUUCUCACAAGGACAUCGGAACAGGUGCUGCAUGGUUGUCGUAAGCUCGUAUCAUGAGACGUACGCUUAAGUGCGGUAACGAGCGCAACCCUUACCCUGUGUUUUAUAUGUCAUAGGGGACUGCCCGGGAUGACCGGGAGGAAGGUGAGGAUGACGCCAAAUCAGCAUGGCCCUUUGAUGCCCUGGGCUGCACACGUGGUACAAUGGAGCCGACAAUGGGUUGCUAAGGCGCAAGCCGGAGCUAAUCCCAACAAACGGCCCCCUAGUUCGGAUUGAGGUCUGCAACUCGACCUCAUGAAGCUGGAAUCGCUAGUAAUCGCCAAUCAGCAAUGUGGCGAUGAAUAUGUUCCUGAAUCUUGUACUCACCGCCCGUCACACCAAGAGAGCUGGCAGUACCCGAAGCCCCUGUUUUAGCAGGGUCUAAGGUAAGGUCAGUAAUAUGGGUGAAGUCGUAACAAGGUAACC